rnacentral:rRNA from 1 species
UACGUAGGGGGCGAGCGUUGUCCGGAGUUACUGGGCGUAAAGGGCACGCAGGCGGUCUGCUAAGUUUGGAGUGACAGUACCCGGCUCAACCGGGUGAGGCCUUCAAAGACUGGUGGACUUGAGGACUAGAGAGGGACAUAGAAUUCCGGGUGGAGUGGUGAAAUGCGUAGAUAUCCGGAGGAAUACCAAAGGCGAAGGCAGUGUCCUGGCUAGUAACUGACGCUGAGGUGCGAAAGCUAGGGGAGCGAACAGGAUUAGAUACCCUGGUAGUCCUAGCCGUAAACGAUGACCACUAGGUGUGCGGAGUAUCGACCCUCUGUGUGCCGCAGCAAACGUCAUAAGUGGUCCGCCUGGGGAGUACGGUCGCAAGAUUAAA